rnacentral:rRNA from 1 species
GUGGAUUAGAUACCCGAGUAGUCCACGCCGUAAACGAUGGGUACUAGGUGUAGGAGGUAUCGACCCCUUCUGUGCCGUCGUUAACACAAUAAGUACCCCGCCUGGGGAGUACGGUCGCAAGACUAAAACUCAAAGGAAUUGACGGGGGCCCGCACAAGCAGCGGAGCAUGUGGUUUAAUUCGAAGCAACGCGAAGAACCUUACCUAGACUUGACGUCUCCUGAAUUACCCUUAACCGGGGAAGCCCUUCGGGGCAGGAAGACAGGUGGUGCAUGGCCGUCGCCAACU